AAGUGAGCAUUAUGCCAUUGAAUAUGGAGGACUUUGAAGCUGUGGGUUGUGAAGUUUCUUUUUGUUUGAAACAGAGACUUAUAAGUCCAUGGUUACCUAAGAUGUGAUUGUUGAAUAGCAGCUUGGCUAGAAUCAUGUUGAAGAAGGAUAUUAAGAUAAUCCCAUCUUCAAAGGAGACCCCCUAAGACAAGACAAGCUAAUGGGAAAAAGCACAAACAGCAGAGCUGAAGAGAUGAGGAUUAGACCAGCUGAUUCACUCACAAAGAACACUCUCUAACCCAUUGAGCUGUCUGAAGACUGUGAAGUGAACUCCAGAUUUCAAGCUUUUGUGAAUUGUCCAACAUGCUGAGGUGGACUCCUAUGAUAAAGGACAAUUACAUGGUGUUUAUGUGGAGGUUAUAAGACAACUGGCAGAAGCUGAUUCUCUCCUUCUUCAAUGUGGAUCUUGGUGAUCAAAAGAAGUUUUCAGAGUCUCAUGUAAUCCAGGUUGACCUGAAGCUUGCUAUGAAGCAAAGGAUGACCCUGGAUAUCUUGCUUCUAUCUUCUGACUGCUCUAGGACUACAAGAAUGCAUCACUACAUCUGUUUAUGAGAUGAAAUGAAAAUUGAACUUCUGGAGGGAGGUGAGGUCACCGAGUCACAAGAGCUCUACCUCAGGCCUCAACUGGCUUUCACACGGCACUAGUUAUUAAUAAGCCUAGAUCUACCCAAUGAACUCAUCACCCUUCUGAGACAAGAAGCCAGAUGUGGUAGUGCAGGUCCACUGGCAUCAUUUUCUUGGGAAAGUUCAUGGCCUCUUGGUGAUGUAAAGUCCCUGGGCGCCACUGUCAUGGUUACUUCCUGUGACAUCAUCCUGUCAUACUCUUAGGGUAUGAGAACUGUGUACAUUCAGCCUUCAUCUUGGGGAUUGCUGUCAACUUUGUAGCUAUAUGACGGUUGUGGGUCCUAUUGGAAACUGAGUUGCCAUCCAGCAGCCAGCUUCACAGAUGCAUUCUAUCUGCAUAGGAAAGGGGUCCUGCACAGGUUGAAACUUCAUUGUAGGAAGAAUCAGCCAGAGACCUGACCCCAACAAGAUUUGUUGGAGGCUGCAGGUGAGAGACUAUCCUGGAUUCCCACUUGAUGCUUGAUGCUUUUUUCCAAGACUUGUGACUGUUCCCAGUCAGGAGGGUUCCUGGUGACGAAGACAGUUUAUUACUUAUUCUCAGAUUCAUCUGUUCUAUUUCAUUUUCUAAUCUCAGGCUUGUGCAGUGGGUUGGUAAAACUCUGCCAGAAUUUAAAGAGUUAUAAGAGUAACUUUGAGAGUUGUUUGAUAUCCCCUGCAUAUUUACACCACAGAUUUUGCUUUCCAUUGGGGCUUUAUAUGCAUGCAGAUUUUUUUCUUUAUUGGAAACUCCUGUGUACAGUGGCAUAGUGAGAACUUAAUAUCCUUCUUAAAGGGCUAUGUUAUCUGGAUUGUGAAAAGAGGAGUAACUGGUAAAUUGGUGUCUCUGUAUCCAAAUUUUAAGUCCAUGGGCAUUUGACUAAGUGAAUAACUGCAGCCUAAUAUCACUCAGGUCUGAGGCCUCUGAUAUGUCCACUUCCUCCAAGACAUGGAUCUUCAUGUUCCCCUAAAUUUGCUUUCUGUUUGUUUGAUUUUUGAGACAGGGUUUAUUUAUGGAGUCCUUCCUGUCUUGAAACUUGUUCGAUAGACCUGACUAGCCUCAAACUCAUAGAGAUCCUCUGGCCUCAGCAUACUAGGAACUGGGAUUAAAAACAUGUGUCACUAUUCCCAGCCCAGAUAUUGCUUUUGAAUCACAUAGAUAUGUCAAUUAUUAUUGUGCUAUGUGUUAGGUACCCAUUAUA